AUGCCCCCUCCUGGUGCCUUCCCUCCUGUGCCACCCCCUGGAUCCAUGCCUCCUGGCAUGCCCCCCGGCAUGCCCAUGCCCCCAGCCCCAGGGACACCAGGACCCCAGGGAGGGGGCUCAGGCCCCCCACCCGGCCCGCCACCCUUCCACCAGGGCAUGCACCCGGGAAUGCCCCAGAUGUCUAUGCACCCUCAUGGCCAUCCCCCAGGUAUGGUGCCUCCACCGGGCCCCCCAGGAUCCAACCAGCACCGGGCGCCUCCACCCCCCGGCAUGCCCCCUCAUCCACACAUGGGCAUGCCACCGAGAGGGCCCUAUGGGCAUCCCAUGGGUCACCCCAUGCAUCCAGGCAUGAGAGGACCCCCUCCUCCCAUGCCCCCACCAGGCUACGGUGGGGGUCCCCCUCGUCCGCCUCCGUUUGGCUUCCAGAGGGGGCCACCAAUGCCACCGAGGCCCCCCGGUGGCCCACCUCGAGGCCCCAUGAGAGGACCAAUGCCCCCAUAGACUACGGAGGACCACAGCAAGGCGCAUGACCAUGCUUUCAUUUAGCUCUUUUAAAAUUUGAUUUAUAUUCUUUGAUUUCUAUUCUAGUACAAUUUGGAGACAUGGUGUAGCUCCAUUUAAUUUUUUUUUGUUUUUACAUUUUCUUCACUGUACAGAACCGAACAAAGGUUCGGAAUAAAGGUUUUUAAUACAACAAAUUGGGUCUUUCAAUUGAUGUCAAGUGAUUUCAGUUUUCUUAGAUGAGAUUUAAUUCAGAACAUGCAUCAUGUCAAUUAACUUGUGCUUUCCUAGUACAAACAUAAGACACAGCAUGUAGUUGGUCUCCUCAAUAGGUUAGAAACUCCAAAUGUGAUCAAAAGGCCAGUCGUUUGAGACCGUUGGUAGCCAGGAAGAAAGGUGAGGCAUGUCCAUAAUGGCAAGAUGAAUGAGAAGGUUAUGUUUUGACCAGACAAAGCACAAGUCAGUUGACAGGUUCCAGACCAAAUAGAAAAUAAAACUUCUUCGCCUAUAUAAACCUUAAGUAUUUUUUUUAUAAACCCCCGAAUACAAUGUUGCUAUAGGCAGUGCUUUGAGUGGAUUACAAAUAUAUAUGCUUCCAAACUAGAAAAAAAACAUCUGUGCUGCCUCCAUGUUGAAUGUGGUUCUCACUCAGUCUGUUGCCAUGGUUAUUGCAGAUACCACUUGUCUGAUGUAGUGGGUUAUGGAGGAGGAUGUAUAGGGCUGCAUAAUCCUACUCUGAUAUUUUAAGCCAUUUUUGAUCAUUUAAAUUAACAUUAUUGAUUCUUGAAGAUUAAAAUUGGUUGAUACCACCAAGCCCCAGUUGAAAACGGGGACUGAAAUCGGCCUUUAGAAUGAUCAGAAUUGGACACAAAGUUAAUUGUGAAUGGACCCAACAUAGCUUGACCAUGGAGACAGGAUUUUAAGUGUAUCAGGCCAAACCUAGGUCAACAACAAGAAAACAAGGUUGAGGUAAAAUGUCUUCUGGUCAUGAGAAUCUUCCGGUUGUUUUUUGUUUUACCUUUAUUUAACUAGGAAAGUCAGUUAAGAACAAAUUCUUAUUUUCAAUGACGGCCUAGAAACAGUGGGUUAACUGCCUGUUCAGGGGCAGAACGACAAAUUUGUACCUUGUCAGCUCAGGGGUU
rnacentral:lncRNA from 13 species